UGCCAAAAGCAAAGGUGAUAACCCAGAU
rnacentral:piRNA from 1 species